rnacentral:lncRNA from 1 species
GAACUCUUCAUCCGCCACAUCCAGGGCCUCAGUCUCGAGGUCCAGAGCGAGCUGGCCGCUGCCAUCCAGGAGGUACUGAGACGGUUCGGCAGCCCAGACUGGUAUGGCACCUGGGACGCCCUUGCCACACCGCGGCUUCCACUGAACUGCUCUUCCUGCGCCCCAGGUGACCCAGCCGGGGGCCGGCGUGGUGCUGGCACUGUCUGGGCCAGAGCCUGGGGAUCUGGCACCUGCCGAGCUGGAGAUGCUGUCCCGGAGCCUGAUGGGGACACUGUCGAAGCUGGCACGGGAGCGUGACCUGGGGGCCCAGCGGCUGGCUGAACUGCUGCUGGAGCGAGAACCCCUCUGCUUGGGGCCUGAGGCUCCCUCUAGGGCUCCCGCCGAGGGCCCCUCGCACCAUCUGGCCCUGCAGCUGGCCAACGCCAAGGCUCAGCUGCGGCGUCUGCGGCAGGAGCUGGAGGAGAAGGCCGAGCUGCUGCUAGACUCCCAGGCCGAGGUGCAGGGUUUGGAGGCCGAAAUAAGAAGGCUCCGCCAGGAGGUGCGCUCACAUGCUCCCCGCCACCGCGGCAUUCCCUAACCUCCCCGCACCCGGUCCCAUUGCCUCCCUCCCAACCCGGCUCCUUCCCGUCCCUAAUCCCUCUGGCCCGCGGCUGGCUGUUCCCAGCUCCACACCGUCUGGCCCAGGCCCAGGCGCUGUCGGGACAGGCCAAGCGGGCCGAGCUGUACCGCGAGGAGGCAGAGGCGCUGCGGGAGCGGGCCGGCCGCCUGCCCCGC